rnacentral:rRNA from 1 species
UGGGGAAUAUUGCGCAAUGGGCGAAAGCCUGACGCAGCGACGCCGCGUGAGGGAUGAAGGUCUUCGGAUCGUAAACCUCUGUCAGAAGGGAAGAAAUUGCGCCGUGCUAAUCAGCGGCGUAUUGACGGUACCUUCAAAGGAAGCACCGGCUAACUCCGUGCCAGCAGCCGCGGUAAUACGGAGGGUGCGAGCGUUAAUCGGAAUCACUGGGCGUAAAGCGCACGUAGGCUGUUUUGUAAGUCAGGGGUGAAAUCCCACGGCUCAACCGUGGAACUGCCUUUGAUACUGCUCAACUUGAAUCCGGGAGAGGGUGGCGGAAUUCCAGGUGUAGGAGUGAAAUCCGUAGAUAUCUGGAGGAACAUCAGUGGCGAAGGCGGCCACCUGGACCGGUAUUGACGCUGAGGUGCGAAAGCGUGGGGAGCAAACA